GCAUCUGUAGCUCAGUUGGACCUUAGAGCGCUGCACCGGAAUCGCAGGGCCGUAGGUUCAAUUCCUACCAGAGGAC
rnacentral:tRNA from 1 species